rnacentral:sRNA from 22 species
GUUACCGAUUACGUUCCUAUGGGUUCGUGAGAGGAGGUGAAACUAAUGAGCCUUAUCAUAGAGCUCGCUCUUACUAUUAUAGCGGAUGUUAUAGCUGGAAUUAUCUUGUAUUUCGUCUGCAGAUGGCUAGAUAGUAAGGAGUAGACCGACUGACUAGCCUAUAAACACCCGUUAAAUCGCUAAGAUACGUCAAAAAAGCCCUUAACUACGGCCAUAGUUAGGGGCUUUGGUGUUCUAAU